rnacentral:lncRNA from 1 species
GCAAAUUUUGAGCUCAUUUUUCUUUUUCUGCAAGCUCAGCAGCAGAAUGCCCAGAGUCUUCCCUGGUAGAUGCAGGUUCCAUAGCGACGUUCUCCUGCAAUGCACGCCAUGUUUUUCCUUGAGCCUGGGACAGGGAGAGCCUGGAUGCUUUGGAGCCAAGCUUUCGUCCCAUGCAAGGGAAACAACCACUUCUGGGAUGUCCGCUGCAAUCUGCUCCGGGGCUGCAGCAACCUCAUCAGCUCUUGCCUGGAGUGGCUCAGCCUGGGCCUGCAGGGCCACCAGGAGAAUGGCAGCAAGGAUGGCGAGGGUCCUCAUGGCUGGGGUGACCUGGAG